rnacentral:misc_RNA from 1 species
CAAGGUUUCCGUAGGUGAACCUGCGGAAGGAUCAUUAUUGAAAUAGCACGACGGGAAGCUGUUGCUGGCCCUAGUGGCCGUGCACGCUUUCUGUCCUUCAUUUCUCCAUCUAUUUGUGCACCUCUUGCGUAGACCCCUCUGUUAGGACUGCUUUGCAAAAUUGAUUGUGGGCUUUCCUUGUUUCUACGUCGUCAUAUACACCAGUGUAACGAUUUGGAAUGAAUGGAAUUUUGAUGCAAUAUAUAUAAAGCACAACUUUCAGCAACGGAUCUCUUGGCUCUCGCAUCGAUGAAGAACGCAGCGAAAUGCGAUAAGUAAUGUGAAUUGCAGAAUUCAGUGAAUCAUCGAAUCUUUGAACGCAUCUUGCGCUCCUUGGUAUUCCUAGGAGCAUGCCUGUUUGAGUGUCAUAAAUAUCUCAACCGCACCCUAUGGUGGUGUGGCUUGGAUUUGGGGGUGGCAGGCUUAGUCUGCUCCCCUGAAAUACAUUGGCGGUGCCCGACGUGAUGUGAUAAAUUAUCCGCAUCUGUUUAUGAGCUGCCGUGUCGUGUUGGAGUUGAUAAACUUGACCUCAAAUCAGGUAGGACCACCCGCUGAACUUAAGCAUAUCAAUAAGCGGAGGAAAAGAAACUAACCAGGAUUCCCUUAGUAACUGCGAGUGAAGUGGGAAGAGCUCAAAUUUGUAAUCUGGUGGCCCUUGGCCAUCCGAGUUGUAAUCUAAAGAA